UAAAAGGUGCUUCUAAGUGCUGAGUUACUUACAUGUGUCAUUUUACUUUCAGCAUAAUCAUCUCUCAGGGCAGCCAUCGCUGUACUUAUUUUACUGGUUAGGAAACAACUUUGAUGUAUUGGAUAAAUCGUCUGCAGUCACAGAGGAUUCUACAGAGACUCCAACUCUUGCCUCCAUCCAGAAGUCUGGAGCUCUGGGGAGGUGAAAGACAGCACUUCAUGCAGACAGGAGAGGUCUGACCCACACGUUCAGGACAACUUCCUGAGCAGAGGAUACUCCAGGAGCCAAGGGCAACUGGAAAGAGCAGCCCACGCUGGGGGUCACAUCCCAGAAGCCCUUGGGGAAGCCUCGGAAGGGGCUGAGCUCCUCCUGAUUGAUGGAGCCUCGCGUAAACAGGCACUGAAGUGACCUAGUUUGUCCUCACAGGACGAUGAUGCCAGAGGACACGGGACACUGGCUGUUUUGUUGCUUUGGAGUUCCUGUUAUUAUUCAGACCUUUUGGUGUUUCUAUAGUUGCAUGCCACAACGAUUUAGGGUGGAGUUAGUCCAGGGGAGCGCUGGCACC
rnacentral:lncRNA from 1 species